GAUGAACGCUGGCGGCGUGCCUAAUACAUGCAAGUCGAGCGAACAGACGAGGAGCUUGCUCCUCUGACGUUAGCGGCGGACGGGUGAGUAACACGUGGAUAACCUACCUAUAAGACUGGGAUAACUUCGGGAAACCGGAGCUAAUACCGGAUAAUAUAUUGAACCGCAUGGUUCAAUAGUGAAAGACGGUUUUGCUGUCACUUAUAGAUGGAUCCGCGCCGAAUUAGCUAGUUGGUAAGGUAACGGCUUACCAAGGCAACGAUGCGUAGCCGACCUGAGAGGAUGAUCGGCCACACUGGAACUGAGACACGGUCCAGACUCCUACGGGAGGCAGCAGUAGGGAAUCUUCCACAAUGGGCGAAAGCCUGACGGAGCAACGCCGCGUGAGUGAUGAAGGUCUUCGGAUCGUAAAACUCUGUUAUUAGGGAAGAACAAAUGUGUAAGUAACUAUGCACGUCUUGACGGUACCUAAACAGAAAGCCACGGCUAACUACGUG
rnacentral:rRNA from 1 species